AUUCAGUUCAAAAUUCAUAUCUGUCAUCUGUACACUGCUGACACAGGUUCUAUGCUUCUUGCAGGCUCCCGCUUGUGUCUCCUCUCCUUCCAUCAGUGCAGCCGCCUCUCUAUACUCUGUUAAUUUUUACCUUCCUCACCAUCUCUCCAUGCCAGCUAAGGGCACAAAUAUGCGCUCAGACUGUUAAAAGGUCCUCUAUUUU